AUUGAACGCUGGCGGCAGGCCUAACACAUGCAAGUCGAGCGAGCGGCGGACGGGUGAGUAAUGUAUGGGGACUGCCCGAUAGAGGGGGAUAACUACUGGAAACGGUGGCUAAUACCGCAUACUAUCGGAUAACCCAUAUGGGAUUAGCUAGUAGGGAGGGUAAAGGCUCACCUAGGCGACGAUCUCUAGCUGUGCUGAGAGGAUAGACAGCCAACCUGGGACUGAGACACGGCCCGUACUCCUACGGAGGACGCAGUGGGCAAUAUUGCACAAUGGGCGCAAGCCUGAUGCAGCCAUGCCGCGUGUAUGAAGAAGGCCUUAGGGUUGUAAAGUACUUUCAGCGGGGAGGCGUUACCCGAAGAGGAAGCACCGGCUAACUCCGUGCCAGCAGCCGCGGUAAUAC
rnacentral:rRNA from 1 species